rnacentral:rRNA from 1 species
GACGAACGCUGGCGGCGUGCCUAAUACAUGCAAGUAGAACGCUGAAGGAGGAGCUUGCUUCUCUGGAUGAGUUGCGAACGGGUGAGUAACGCGUAGGUAACCUGCCUGGUAGCGGGGGAUAACUAUUGGAAACGAUAGCUAAUACCGCAUAAGAGUAGAUGUUGCAUGACAUUUGCUUAAAAGGUGCAAUUGCAUCACUACCAGAUGGACCUGCGUUGUAUUAGCUAGUUGGUGGGGUAACGGCUCACCAAGGCGACGAUACAUAGCCGACCUGAGAGGGUGAUCGGCCACACUGGGACUGAGACACGGCCCAGACUCCUACGGGAGGCAGCAGUAGGGAAUCUUCGGCAAUGGACGGAAGUCUGACCGAGCAACGCCGCGUGAGUGAAGAAGGUUUUCGGAUCGUAAAGCUCUGGUGUAAGAGAAGAACGAGUGUGAGAGUGGAAAGUUCACACUGUGACGGUAUCUUACCAGAAAGGGACGGCUAACUACGUG